GUAGGUGAACCUGCGGAAGGAUCAUUAAAGAUAAAGCUGACCAGGGUUGUAGCUGGCCGUAUCAGGCAUGUGCACGCCCUGCUCAACCUUUCCAUCUCACACCUGUGCACCUUUGCGUGAGCCGGCGCUUCUUGCGCACGGCUUGCGUCUUCUCCACAAAACCUUUGAAUGUAUGCAGAAUGUUUUAUUUUAAUUGCAGUAAUGUGCAUGAAUGUACAACUUUCAACAACGGAUCUCUUGGCUCUC
rnacentral:misc_RNA from 1 species